GAUGAACGCUGACGGCGUGCCUAAUACAUGCAAGUCGAGCGAACGGACGAGACGCUUGCUUCUCUGAUGUUAGCGGCGGACGGGUGAGUAACACGUGGAUAACCUACCUAUAAGACUGGGAUAACUUCGGGAAACCGGAGCUAAUACCGGAUAAUAUUUUGAACCGCAUGGUUCAAAAGUGAAAGACGGUCUUGCUGUCACUUAUAGAUGGAUCCGCGCUGCAUUAGCUAGUUGGUAAGGUAACGGCUUACCAAGGCAACGAUGCAUAGCCGACCUGAGAGGGUGAUCGGCCACACUGGAACUGAGACACGGUUCAGACUCCUACGGGAGGCAGCAGUAGGGAAUCUUCCGCAAUGGGCGAAAGCCUGACGGAGCAACGCCGCGUGAGUGAUGAAGGUCUUCGGAUCGUAAAACUCUGUUAUUAGGGAAGAACAUAUGUGUAAGUAACUGUGCACAUCUUGACGGUACCUAAUCAGAAAGCCACGGCUAACUACGUG
rnacentral:rRNA from 1 species